CCAAUAGCGUAUAUUAAAGUUGUUGCAGUUAAAAAGCUCGUAGUUGAAUUUUGGGUCUGGCCGGGCGGUCCGCCCUCCGGGUGAGCACUGUUCCGACGCCGGGCCUAUCCCUCUGGUGAGUCGGCAUGUCCUUUGUUGGGUGUGUCGGGGAACCAGGACCAUUACCUUGAAAAAAUUAGAGGGUUCAAAGCAGGCGGAUGCCCGGAUACAUUAGCGUGGAAAAAUGCAAUAGGACGCGUGGUGCUAUUUUGUUGGUUUCUAGAACCGCCGUAAUGAUUAAUAGGGAUAGUUGGGGGCAUUAGUAUUCAAUUGUCAGAGGUGAAAUUCUUGGAUUUAUUGAAGACUAACUUCUGCGAAAGCAUUUGCCAAGGAUGUUUUCAUUAAUCAAGAACGAAAGUUAGGGGAUCGAAGACGAUCAGAUACCGUCGUAGUCUUAACCAUAAACUAUGCCGACUAGGAAUCGGGCGAUGUUAUUCUCAUGACUCGCCCGGCGCCUUAUG
rnacentral:rRNA from 1 species